GUUAAAUUAGUAUUUAAUAUACUUUAAAUUUAAGCUUUAAAAAAGAAUGGUUAUUCAUUUAACA
rnacentral:tRNA from 1 species